rnacentral:rRNA from 1 species
UACGGAGGGUGCAAGCGUUAUCCGGAUUCACUGGGUUUAAAGGGUGCGUAGGUGGGUUGGUAAGUCAGUGGUGAAAUCUCCGAGCUUAACUUGGAAACUGCCAUUGAUACUAUCAGUCUUGAAUAUUGUGGAGGUCAGCGGAAUAUGUCAUGAAGCGGUGAAAUGCUUAGAUAUGACAUAGAACACCAAUUGCGAAGGCAGCUGGCUACACAUAUAUUGACACUGAGGCACGAAAGCGUGGGGAUCAAACAGG